AUUGAACGCUGGCGGCAUGCCUUACACAUGCAAGUCGAACGGUAGAGGGGGCAACCCCUUGAGAGUGGCGAACGGGUGAGUAAUGCAUCGGAACGUGCCCAGUCGUGGGGGAUAGCCCGGGGAAACCCGGAUUAAUACCGCAUACGACCUGAGGGUGAAAGCGGGGGACCGAAAGGCCUCGCGCGAUUGGAGCGGCCGAUGUCGGAUUAGGUAGUUGGUGGGGUAAAGGCCUACCAAGCCUGCGAUCCGUAGCUGGUCUGAGAGGACGACCAGCAACACUGGGACUGAGACACGGCCCAGACUCCUACGGGAGGCAGCAGUGGGGAAUUUUGGACAAUGGGGGCAACCCUGAUCCAGCCAUGCCGCGUGCGGGAAGAAGGCCUUCGGGUUGUAAACCGCUUUUGUCAGGGAAGAAAUGUCCUGGGCUAAUAACCUGGGGGGAUGACGGUACCUGAAGAAUAAGCACCGGCUAACUACGUGCCAGCCGCCGCCGUAA
rnacentral:rRNA from 1 species